CCUACGGGGGGCUGCAGUAACGAAUCUUCCCCAAUGCACGAAAGUGUGAGGGAGCGACGCCGCGUGGAGGACGAAGUCCUUCGGGAUGUAAACUCCUGUCAGGGGCUACCAAGUUCUGAGGGGCCCCAGAGGAAGGCACGGCUAACUCUGUGCCAGCAGCCGCGGUAAGACAGAGGUGCCGAGCGUUAGGCGGAAUCACUGGGCUUAAAGCGUGUGUAGGCGGACCGUUAAGUACCUUGUGAAAUCCCACGGCUCAACCGUGGAACGGCUGGGUAUACUGGCGGUCUUGAGACACUCAGGGGCGAGCGGAACAAGCGGUGGAGCGGUGAAAUGCGUAGAUAUCGCUUGGAACGCCGACGGUGAAAACAGCUCGCUGGGGGUGCUCUGACGCUGAGACACGAAAGCCAGGGGAGCGAACGGGAUUAGAUACCCUAGUAGUC
rnacentral:rRNA from 1 species